rnacentral:rRNA from 1 species
GAUGAACGCUAGCGGCAGGCUUAACACAUGCAAGCCGAGGGGUAUAGUUCUUCGGAGCUAGAGACCGGCGCACGGGUGCGUAACGCGUAUGCAAUCUACCUUUUGCAGAGGGAUAGCCCAGAGAAAUUUGGAUUAAUACCUCAUAGUAUGUGAGAAUGGCAUCGUUUUCACAUUAAAGUCACAACGGCAAAAGAUGAGCAUGCGUCCCAUUAGCUUGUUGGUAAGGUAACGGCUUACCAAGGCAACGAUGGGUAGGGGUCCUGAGAGGGAGAUCCCCCACACUGGUACUGAGACACGGACCAGACUCCUACGGGAGGCAGCAGUGAGGAAUAUUGGACAAUGGGCGCAAGCCUGAUCCAGCCAUGCCGCGUGCAGGAUGACGGUCCUAUGGAUUGUAAACUGCUUUUGUACAGGAAGAAACACUGGUUCGUGAACCAGCUUGACGGUACUGUAAGAAUAAGGAUCGGCUAACUCCGUGCCAGCCGCCGCGGUAAAAC